AUACUUACCUGGACGUGGUCAAUGAGUGAUCAAGAAGACUCAUGGCCUAGGCUGGUGACCUCCAUUGCACUUUGGAGGGGUACCAGCUUAAAGUCUCCCCAAGAGGGAGAGCUUACGUCAUAAUUUGUGAUAGUGGGGGCCUGCGUUCGCGCGGCCCCUG